UCGUAGUUGAAUUUGUGUCUUGCUCUGUCGGUUCAUCGCUGACUGCGGUGUUUAACUGGCAUGGUGCGAGACGUCUUGCCGGAAGGGCAUGGUAUAUGUUUUAUUUGUGUAAAAUAUAAUAUAUACACUGGUAAUUAAUAUUAUAUAGUUAAUAGCUAUAUUUAUAUUUUAUUAUUUGUUGUUUUAUAUUAUAUUGCGCCAGAUAAUAACGUGUACGUAGUCCGACUUUAUAAUCCUGUCGAGGUGCUCUUAACUGAGUGUCGUCGCGGGCCGGCACGUUUACUUUGAACAAAUUAGAGUGCUUAAAGCAGGCUAAUGUUGCCUGAAUAUAGUGUGCAUGGAAUAAUGAAACAGGACCUCGGUUCUAUUUUGUUGGUUUUCUGAUCAAACGAGGUAAUGAUUAAUAGGGACAGAUGGGGGCAUUCGUAUUGCGACGUUAGAGGUGAAAUUCUUGGAUCG
rnacentral:rRNA from 1 species